UUCCGGUUGAUCCUGCCGGAGGUCACUGCUAUUGGGAUUCGACUAAGCCAUGCGAGUCGAGAGGGUUCGGCCCUCGGCUGACGGCUCAGUAACACGUGGAUAAUCUACCCUAAGGUGGAGGAUAACCUCGGGAAACUGAGAAUAAUACUCCAUAGGUCUAGGAGGCUGGAAUGCACUUAGGCUGAAAACUUCGGUGCCUUAGGAUGAGUCUGCGGACUAUCAGGUUGUAGUCAGGGUAAAGACCUGACUAGCCUAUGACGGAUACGGGUUGUGAGAGCAAUAACCCGGAGAUGAUAUCUGAGACACGAUAUCAGGCCCUACGGGGCGCAGCAGGCGCGAAAACUUCGCACUGCGCGAAAGCGCGACGAGGGAAUCCCAAGUGUAUGCACGCAAGUGUAUA
rnacentral:rRNA from 1 species